rnacentral:rRNA from 1 species
UUUUGUGGGGUGCUCGAGUGGCGAACGGGUGAGUAACACGUGAGUAACCUGCCCUUGACUUUGGGAUAACUUCAGGAAACUGGGGCUAAUACCGGAUAGGAGCCCCUGCUGCAUGGUGGGGGUUGGAAAGUUUCGGCGGUUGGGGAUGGACUCGCGGCUUAUCAGCUUGUUGGUGGGGUAGUGGCUUACCAAGGCUUUGACGGGUAGCCGGCCUGAGAGGGUGACCGGCCACAUUGGGACUGAGAUACGGCCCAG